AGUGAACGCUGGCGGUAGGCCUAACACAUGCAAGUCGAACGGAAGCACAGUAAGAGCUUGCUCUUACGGGUGGCGAGUGGCGGACGGGUGAGGAAUACAUCGCAAUCUACUUUUUCGUGGGGGAUAACGUAGGGAAACUUACGCUAAUACCGCAUACGAUCUACGGGUGAAAGCAGUGGAUCUUCGGACCUUGCGCGAUUGAAUUAGCCGAUGUCGGAUUAGCUAGUUGGCGGGGUAAAGGCCCACCAAGGCGACGAUGCGUAGCUGGUCUGAGAGGAUGAUCGGCCACACUGGAACUGAGACACGGUCCAGACUCCUACGGGAGGCAGCAGUGGGGAAUAUUGGACAAUGGGCGAAAGCCUGAUCCAGCCAUGCCGCGUGGGUGAAGAAGGCCUUCGGGUUGUAAAGCCCUUUUGUUGGGGAAGAAAAACUGUAGGAGAAUAUCUCGAUGUCCUGACGGUACCCAAUGAGUAAGCACCGGCUAACUUCGUG
rnacentral:rRNA from 1 species